rnacentral:rRNA from 1 species
AUGAACGCUGGCGGCGUGCCUAAUACAUGCAAGUCGAACGAACGGACGAGAAGCUUGCUUCUCUGAUGUUAGCGGCGGACGGGUGAGUAACACGUGGAUAACCUACCUAUAAGACUGGGAUAACUUCGGGAAACCGGAGCUAAUACCGGAUAAUAUUUUGAACCGCAUGGUUCAAAAGUGAAAGACGGUCUUGCUGUCACUUAUAGAUGGAUCCGCGCUGCAUUAGCUAGUUGGUAAGGUAACGGCUUACCAAGGCAACGAUGCAUAGCCGACCUGAGAGGGUGAUCGGCCACACUGGAACUGAGACACGGUCCAGACUCCUACGGGAGGCAGCAGUAGGGAAUCUUCCGCAAUGGGCGAAAGCCUGACGGAGCAACGCCGCGUGAGUGAUGAAGGUCUUCGGAUCGUAAAACUCUGUUAUUAGGGAAGAACAUAUGUGUAAGUAACUGUGCACAUCUUGACGGUACCUAAUCAGAAAGCCACGGCUAACUACGUG